UACGGGGGGGGGUAAGCGUUGUUCGGAAUUACUGGGCGUAAAGGGCUCGUAGGCGGCCAACUAAGUCAUACGUGAAAUCCCUCAGCUUAACUGGGGAACUGCGUGUGAUACUGGAUGGCUUGGAUUUGGGAGAGGGAUGCGGAAUUCCAGGUGUAGCGGUGAAAUGCGUAGAUAUCUGGAGGAAUACCGGUGGCGAAGGCGGCAUCCUGGACCGGCAUUGACGCUGAGGAGCGAAAGCGUGGGGGAGCGAACAGG
rnacentral:rRNA from 1 species